UGCUUCUUUAGGAACGUACACAGAUC
rnacentral:piRNA from 1 species